CAGUAACGCUUAACGGUUUUCACUCAGUCACGCUAUGGCGCUCACUGCGUUUGUGUUUGUUGUGUUGUGUUUGUGGGUUGUGUUUGUGGAUUGUGGUUGUGUGUUGUGUUUGUUGGUUGUGCUUUGUGUUACCCGUCAGUGGUGGUGUUAAACGGUUUUCACUCAGUCACGCCAUGGCGCUCACAAUACAUUACACACAAUCACAAACACAGCGAGAGUCAUGGUGUGACUGGGUGAAAACCGUUAAGCGCUACUGACGGGUAACGUGAUACCUGAUAACUCCGGGAUCACGUCACGUCUUUGUGUAACAUUAGGCUACAUUUACGCAAUAUAUUGGGUCCUUAACUAAUGUAGUUUUUAGGGUAAGGGGAAUAUUUAGGAUUCUUGAAUAAAAAAAUCAUCCUGUACUUUUAGGUUACGUCUUUGUGUGAUUUUGUCUAUAGAAUUGGAAUAAAUUCUAUCAUAUAUAAAUUGUAUAUUUUUUUAUUACUUAUUUGUCUUAUUCAUUAACACCAUUUUGUUAUAUCCCUUUGCCUCUUAUUUCUAUUACUAACCUAACCUUGUCAAUAUCUCAUUUUUCUAUCAGUUAUCUAUAACAAUCGAUCACAACUAAAAAAAAAAAGAAAAACAACUGAAGUUGAAGCUUUUGCAUCAACAGGCUUCAAGUACGUCAUUAUUUUCUAAAUCUGAAAUACGUUUAAUCAACUCUGUUUACCCUCAAUGUUCACCUUCUCACAAACGAUGACAACAAAUUAUCAAUACGACAUUUACCCUAAUUUGCAUACAAGUGAUAAUGAGAAACUUUACCCUAAAUACGCAAUUUCCUACAAGACACUAAAGCUACAACUCUACAAGAUGGCUAUAUAUACAUAUUUCUCCCAGUCUCGACUACUUCACUCAUCAACUCAAGACAUAUUCAAUUCAUCAACUCAUCAACCCAUUAACACACUAUUCAACUGUUAAGAUUACUACGAAAUACUUUUCUUUCAACACAAACACAUCAACUUAACACACUUACAAAUCAUUGAAAUUGAGAACUUUUUUUUUUUUUUUACUUUUUCGUUUUAUUAUUAUUUCAAGUUGUUUAUUCUUCCGCUAUAAUCCUCUCGUUUUCUUUAUUUCAAUUUAUCAUUUUCUUUAAUACUUUCUUAUUUUCUUAUCGGCAUUUCUCUUUUUCUCUGUAUAUUUCCUUCGGCUGUUUUUUUUUAUUCUAAUAUGCAUAAAUCCUUGAGCACUCACACACUCAUCCUAACACAACCGGAAACACAGUCAAACCUUCAUUACUAUUACAAUGAUAAUUCUAAAUAGCUCAGUAAUAUGUCUAAAUUGGGGGGUUAUGGUUUAUGUCUGAACUUGUCUAGAGAUCAAUCAAUAUUUUGGUUUAUUUUAAUGGGUUUAUGUCUUAAGAGAUGAUACUGUUUUGUUUUUUAGUCUGUUUAGAGACACUUGGUCUGUCUGGACAAAAAAUAAGUCUAUACAGUAGGUGUAAUUCAAAGUCUUAUUUUAAAUGGCUUAUAUAUAUAUAUAUAUAUAUAUAUAUAUAUAUAUAUAUAUAUAUAUAUAUAUAUAUAUAUAUAUAUAUAUAUAUAUAUAUAUAUAUAUAUAUAUGACUUAAAGCUAUCUGUAAACCGUAAAAAAAAUUCUUCCUUGGGUUUGUUUGAAACAAGUCCUCCAACUCAUAUUAUGUAUUUCUCCUUAUGGCUAUGGCUAAGACAUUCGGUCGAUUUAUGUCUAAUUGUAAAUACCAGCUCGAUGUAACACUCCUUAUGGCUGGUGUAUGUCUAAUUACGAAUCCCAGCUCGAUGUAACAUUACUUAUGGCUGGUGUAUGUCUAAUUAUGAACACCAGCACGAUGUAACACUCCUUAUGGCUGGUGUAAGUCUGAUUAUGAAUCCCAGCACGAUGUAACACUCCUUAUGGCUGGUGUAUGUAUAAUUAUGAAUCCCAGCACGGUGUAACACUCCUUAUGGCUGGUGUAAGUCUGAUUAUGAAUCCCAGCACGAUGUAACACUCCUUAUGGCUGGUGUAAGUCUGAUUAUGAAUCCCAGCACGAUGUAACACUCCUUAUGGCUGGUGUAUGUCUAAUUAUGAAUCCCAGCACGAUGUAACACUCCUUAUGGCUGGUGUAUGUCUAAUUAUGAAUCCCAGGACGAUGUAACACUCCUUAUGGCUGGUGUAUGUCUAAUUAUGAAUCACAGCACGAUGUAACACUCCUUAUGGCUGGUGUAAGUCUGAUUAUGAAUCCCAGCACGAUGUAACACUCCUUAUGGCUGGUGUAAGUCUGAUUAUGAAUCCCAGCACGAUGUAACACUCCUUAUGGCUGGUGUAUGUCUAAUUAUGAAUCCCAGGACGAUGUAACACUCCUUAUGGCUGGUGUAUGUCUAAUUAUGAAUCACAGCCUGAUGUAACACUCCUUAUGGCUGGUGUAUGUCUAAUUAUUAUGAAUCCCAGCACGAUGUAACACUCCUUAUGGCUGGUGUAUGUCUAAUUAUUAUGAAUCCCAGCACGAUGUAACACUCCUUAUGGCUGGUGUAAGUCAAACUUGAUGUGUUUUAUGUGUGAAGUCAUGGCAGUUGUUUAUUUAAAUGAGAACUGCAAACUCAUCGUUAUGUAUGAAGUAUGUCUAGCUCAGUGUUUUGAUUUCGCCUUAAUAUAUGUCUAAAUGUUCGUGUUAUGUCUGAUAAUUUUGUAGGUUUAUGUCUAUUAAAUCUUUGGUAUCUGAAUAUUUCUCUGCAACUGUUUUCUUUUUUUUUUAAGUCUGUAGUCUCCUGUGUAUCCGAUGUAUGACUGAUGUCUGGUUUAUCUUUAGUAGUUAAUUAUUUUAGAAUGACUGGUUUAGGUCUAAUAAUCUGGUUUAUUUCUGACUGUUUCUCUAGAAAUGGCUAGUUUAGGUCUGAAUCGGUAUGUCUAUUUGAUGUUCUUGGCUAAAUUAAGAAUACCAAUUGACAUGUCUUUGGAUCAUGUCUUUCUCUCUAUCCCUCUAACCUAAAUUGGUAUAAUCAUUUUUUGCUUACCAUUCUGCAAUUAGGUGAUUUAUGUCUAAAUUAUGUCUUUGACUUCAACCCGAUCGUUUCAUUGUCUUUUUUAUGUCUGACGAUUUCUGGAAUGUCUUAACAGCUCAAUGGUCUAUUCGUGAUGGCUGUUAAAUUAUCUACAUGGCUGUUAUAUGUCUGUGGGGUGUCUGUGAGCCAGUUGGAUGAUGCAGUUUUAAGUCUGAUAAUAUCCACUAAAAUGUCUUUUGUCAAUUCUUAUGGCUUACUUUACAACCUGCCCAUGUCUGUUCCCAAAUCCUCAGGAAGAUUCUUAACAUUAAGUUUUACAUUAACAUUCAUCCCAAGUUUCUGUUUACUACAAAGACCAACCCGUGUUCUCACUCUCCUCCGGUAGCAUCUGUACACACCAGCUGGAUAAUACAACAAACUGUCAAAACAUUCACGACUUAGCUCUCUAGUCCUUGGCAAAAUACCUAGCAAAACUGAUCAAUAAUUCCUGUAUCAUUCUUCACAUCAUUUCCUAAAACCAUUUUUUGUAAUAUAUCGAUGGAAUUCAUUCAUUCUUUACUAAUUGCAAGUCGUACUGUACUGCCAUUCAUAGAGUCGUCAUUCUCUAAUCGUAUAAGUCGUUCUACCAUUCAUAUGCUCAUAUAAUGUUUAGUCACACUGUAUAAUUGAUGGAAACAUGUCCGACUGUUAUUCUUAAUCUUUCUUGUAUUCAAAUAUUUCUGUUAAAGUUUAAUAUCCAUAUCAACACCUUUAACUAUUUCUGUGGUAUAUCUGUCUCCAAAAUUAAUGGCAUUCGUAUCUCUACAAGCUUCUUAGUUUUCUUUUACGAUAGUUUAUUGUUCAUUAUAAUGACGGCUAAAAUACAGUGAUUUGCAAACAAAAAAUCGGUUUCAAACGAAUAGAUAUAAUUUUUGGCGCCGAAAACUAAUUUCCUGGAUUUUUUUAUUAUUUAAUAUGUAGUGAAUUAGACAGAAAAACACUACGUCAGUUGAGUUAGGCGAGGGAGGACGCCAUGUUUGUUUACAUCAGCCAGCAGACAACAUGAACCAGGUCAGCUAAGAUUACAUGAACCAGGUCAGCUAAGAUUAAGUUAUGUUGCUUCAUUUCGUCUGCUGUCAUAAAUAAACCGGAUCUACUAACAGCGUCCACCAGGCACCACUCAGCUCAGGUGGUGUUUAUCUGAAGUUCACUGUGAUUGGUGAAUGAUGUUGAUUUCCGUCGAUUAUUUCAAUGUUUAUUUCCGUCUUUAUGUAGUCAACUUGCCUGCAUCAAUCACCCACUGACGUCUACCAUUAACAAAAUUGGCAUAAAACUUCUCCAAUAUGUUGAGACAAACUCUGUCUGGUAUCUUUUCUCUUCUGCUAUUUUGAGCAACAAAUCGUAACUUCUGAACCAGUCCCUUCAACCUUUACAUCCGUCUUUAUUUUUUGUCCUCCUCUCUAUCAUUAACUCUACCUAAUCUAAUAAGUGAAAUAUUUAAACAGUUGAUAUAAGGUAAAAAUCAAUUAGUCAAGCACUUUAGACAGGAAACGAUUAUUUGUUCAAGCACUUUAGACAGGAAACGAUUAUUUGUUCAAGCACUUUAGACAGGAAACGAUUAUUUGUUCAAGCACUUUAGACAGGAUUACACUAAUGCCAAUAAAAGACAAGACAGUCACUCUACAACAGCUACACACAAACGACGUAAACAAGCCUCACGCCAUUUCUCUCCACGGGAUAACAAAACCAUAGUUCUGGUCCGAGAUUUUCACAAGUCAUGGCGGUCUGAACAGCCUGGCACCAUUGUCGGUCGUCGCCCACUAUUGUCGUUGAGAUGUUUCUUGCCGGUCUUGACUACGUAAUCAAAGAACGAGAUCAAUAUAACGGUAUCAUUCGAGGUCUUAAACUGCCUUACUAACUUUCUCAAUCCUCUUUGUUUUAAUACGUUUCUUGUACUAACCUAAAUCCCAUCCUUUUACCCCUCAAUAAAAAACAGCAAAAACAUUCACAAUUUGAUAAACUUGAGCUUAAAAAAAAGGAUUAAAUAUAUACCCUGUUUUAAUAAAAGUGAACAGUGAUAUGGGCGCCUUUUCUCUGAAGAUUUUUAUUCUUUUUUAAAUAUCAAUUUUUUUUUUUAAGUAUCGGCACGGUAUGAUGUAUUAAUUGGUCUUUGGUAUUAUUACGAAGGUUUGUCAUACAGUCAUGGGCACACACACUCUCUCCUUAUCAUUAUUAUUAGUUCAUAACUCACACCGAUAGUACAACCAAAACUACCAUUAUAAAAAAAAGGAGAUACAAAAGUCCAUCCAUACUUCUCUUCUUUGGCUUCUAUCAAAAAAAGUAUCAAAAAACAAAAAAUAAUACUUUCAUCAUCCGUUGCCGUUACUUUUACCUAAAUUCUUCAGAUUAGUCAUUUACAAAAAAAAAUCAAUCCAUUAUUAUUUUUUAUUUUUUUUAAAUAUUUCAACAGCGCAAACUUUUCACUAUCAAUUUAAUAAUACUAUAAGCCAACCCUUCAUAUAGCAUUUACAAAACAAACAAAAGAAGUACUAAACGCCGCUUAAACAUCAAAAAAUAAAAGAAAAAAGAAGAAAAUCAGAAAUUACUCGCUAGUCCUCGCUUACAUUCACCAUCGUAAUACUUGAAAUACCAAACACCUAACACAACCAACUUAUCCUCAAGACAACAACAAAUACAAAAAAAAAAUUACAUUACUUUCAUAAUUAUCGUCUAAACAGCAGCUAAGUUUGAGUUUUUUUAAACAUAUGAGUAAACAAGCUAAUGGGAGGUUGGGUAAAUGGGAAAAUGGAAGGUUUGGGAAAUUGGUAGGUGGGGUAAAUAGGUCUAAUGGGAGGUUGGGUAAAUAGGUUAAUGGAUGGUUGGGAAAAUGGGAGAUCUGGUAAAUAGGCUAAUGUAAGGUCGGGUAAAUAGGUUAAUGGAAGGUCAGGUAAAUGGGAAAAUGGUAGGUGGGGUAUAUAGGCUAAUGGAAGGUCGGGUAAAUAGGUUAUUGGAAAGUUGGAUAAAUAGGCUAAUGGGAUUUGUUUGUUAAAUUGCCCCAAUCUCUCUCAGGUUAAUUAGAACACCUUAGAUUAAAAACAUAAAUCCAGCCCCUCGGCAGCCCCACCUUCCAGGGUAUAUAAUCAGAUAUGGCCACCAAUUAAGGCAGGAGAAGUAUUUACCUUUAAAACAAUGAAAAAUGACAAUGUAUAUAAAAACAAAUUGAGACUAUAUCAUAAUGGUAUACACUACAACAGUACCAAUAAAGUGAUGUCAGUAAUAUAGAAAUGCCAACACAUAUAUACACACACAUACACAGUAGGUGAUACAUACGUGUGUGUAUAACGUCGGCGAAGGGAACAAACAACGAAAAGAAA